CCUACGGGGGGCAGCAGUGGGGAAUAUUGGACAAUGGGGGGAACCCUGAUCCAGCCAUGCCGCGUGUGUGAAGAAGGCCCUCGGGUUGUAAAGCACUUUCAGUGAGGAAGAACGCCUGGUGGUUAAUACCCAUCAGGAAAGACAUCACUCACAGAAGAAGCACCGGCUAACUCCGUGCCAGCAGCCGCGGUAAUACGGAGGGUGCGAGCGUUAAUCGGAAUUACUGGGCGUAAAGCGCGCGUAGGUGGCUUGAUAAGCCGGUUGUGAAAGCCCCGGGCUCAACCUGGGAACGGCAUCCGGAACUGUCAAGCUAGAGUGCAGGAGAGGAAGGUAGAAUUCCCGGUGUAGCGGUGAAAUGCGUAGAGAUCGGGAGGCAUACCAGUGGCGAAGGCGGCCUUCUGGACUGACACUGACACUGAGGUGCGAAAGCGUGGGUAGCAAACAGGAUUAGAUACCCUGGUAGUC
rnacentral:rRNA from 1 species